UACGGAGGGUGCAAACGUUGCUCGGAAUCAUUGGGCGUAAAGCGCACGUAGGCGGCUUGUUAAGUCGGGUGUGAAAUCCCUGGGCUCAACCCAGGAAGUGCACUCGAAACUGGCGAGCUUGAGUAUGGAAGAGGGUCGCGGAAUUCCCGGUGUAGCGGUGAAAUUCGUAGAUAUCGGGAGGAACACCAGUGGCGAAGGCGGCGACCUGGGCCAAUACUGACGCUGAGGUGCGAAAGCGUGGGGAGCAAACGGG
rnacentral:rRNA from 1 species